rnacentral:rRNA from 1 species
AUUGAACGCUGGCGGCAGGCCUAACACAUGCAAGUCGAACGAGUGGCGGACGGGUGAGUAAUGUCUGGGAAACUGCCCGAUGGAGGGGGAUAACUACUGGAAACAGUAGCUAAUACCGCAUACCAUCGGAUGUGCCCAGAUGUGCUUAGCUAGUAGGUGGGGUAACGGCUAACCUAGGCGACGAUCCCUAGCUGGUCUUAGAGGAUGACCGGCCACACUGGAACUUGGACACGGGCCAGACUCCUACGGGAGGCAGCAGUGGGGAAUAUUGCACAAUGGGCGCAAGCCUGAUGCAGCCAUGCCGCGUGUAUGAAGAAGGCCUUCGGUUUGUAAAGUACUUGCAGCGAGGAGGCGUUACUCGCAGAAGAAGCACCGGCUAACUCCGUGCCAGCAGCCGCGGUAAUUC